rnacentral:rRNA from 1 species
AUACGUAGGUGACAAGCGUUAUCCGGAUUUACUGGGCGUAAAGGGCGUGUAGGCGGUCUUGCAAGUCAGAAGUGAAAUUCCUGAACUCAAUUUGGGCGCUGCUUCGGAAACUGCAGGACUUGAGUGCUGGAGGGGAUAGCGGAAUUCCUAGUGGCGCGGUAAAAUGCGGAGAUAUUAGGAAAAACACCGGAGGGGAAGGCGACUUUUUGGACAUUAACUGUGGCUGAAGCGCGAAAGCAUGGGGAGCAAACUGGAUUUGUUACCCUGUUGAUGCACGACGUCAACUAUGAAUACUAGUUGUAGGGGGUGUCGACUCGCUCUGUUCCGUAGUUAACACAAUAAGUAUUCCGCCUUGGGAGUACAGCCGCUAGGUUGAAGCUCAAAGGAAUUUACGGUG